UAAAUACUCAGUUUCGUCAAGUACUAUAAUCAGUGGUACAGAAAGGGUAGGUGGGGAAAUGCGGAAAUCUCAGCUUUUUUCUUCUUACCAUGUUAUGAAAGAUGUUGACAAACAUUUGGGAAAAAGUGAGAGAUGGCAGGAGCGGAUUAGGAGCUGGUGGCAGCAGAAAGACUCGGAAAACUGUCAGCCUCUCUGUCCUCACAUCUGUGCUUAUGUAUAGAGGGAAGCGAUGCCUCUCUUCUGGUUUGGGGGUUUUUUAAAAACAUUUUCUGCACUAUUCAAAUAGAGGCUGAGAGGAGCAUACCUGUUUUUUUUUUUUUAAGUGAAUGGGGAUAACAUCAUCUUUGCCCUUCUGGUGACUAAAAUGACAGGGUUGGCAGCAAGUUUCUUUUCCCAAUAAGAGCCUUCAGGUUUGUCUGCGACAAGACUCUCCACAGAGGUUAUUUUUACCUGGCAUGGCUGUGCUGUUACUGAUACUGCUCUUCUCAAUGGCUGAAAUAACUUCUCCUGUGGGUGUCUCCGGCAGAAUGAAAGCUGGGUCAAGGUGGAGAGGUGAAAAGAACCGACCAGACUCUCCGGUGUCUCCUCCAGGUUGGAAUAUCCAGAGAAAUUAUACUGGAAAAGAGUGCAGUUCAGUGAAUACCCUAACAGACUGUUCGCAAAAUGUGUAAGGGAAGUUGCCUAUGUAAGUGGGCCAGAGGGAUUUAACACAUGGAUCUAAUUUGAAUUGUUCUCGUAUUUUCUUCUUCUUACAUGAGAAAUUUAUGUUUCUAUAUGACUAAAGAUUAGCAGAUUGUCUACAGCUUGCCAAAGUUUGAACAGAAGAAGAAGAAAAAAAGAUAGUAUCACUCUGAAUUGAAUUUGGCAGCUCAAGUCUCUGAGCCAUUGGUUUAAGAUUGUUCAUUCAGAUGAGACCAGCAUAAACCAGGAUUCGCUGAUUCUCUGUCCCUAUUCAUACAGCCCCACAGGCUUCAGCUCUCACAUCUGUGAAUGCUAUUCUGGAAUUUUACUUGGCACUUUCAGCUACUUAUGCACAAUUAAUGCUUCCUGCAAAGUUGUGCAUGCCUUAAACACUUAUCAACCAAAGGAGAUUUAAAAUAUACAAAACAGCAG
rnacentral:lncRNA from 1 species